rnacentral:rRNA from 1 species
AGUGAACGCUGGCGGUAUGCCUAACACAUGCAAGUCGAACGACAGCACAGUAAGAUUUUGCUCUUACGGUUGGCGAGUGGCGGACGGGUGAGGCAUACAUAGGCAACUACUUUUUCGUGGGUGAUAACGGAGGGAAGCUUACACUAAUACCUCAUACGACCUACGGGUUAAAUCAGUAGAUCUUGGGACUUUGCGCGACUGAAUUAGACGAUGUCGCAUUAGCUAGUUGGCGAGGUAAAGGCCCACCAAGGCGACGAUCCGUAGCUGAUCUGAGAGGAUGAUCAGCCACACUGGAACUGAGACACGGUCCAGACUCCUACGGGAGGCAGCAGUAGGGAAUAUUGGGCAAUGGGCGAAAGCCUGACCCAGCAAUACCGCGUGAGUGAUGAAGGCCUUCGGGUUGUAAAGCCCUGUUGUUGGGAAAGAAAAGAAGCGGAUGAAACCAUCGACGUUUUGACGGUACCUAAACAGUAAGCCCCGGCUAACUUCGUG